ACAGCCACAUCAUGUUGAAACACCGGUUCCUGUAUGAUCACUAAAGUUAAGCAACAUCAAGCCUGGUCAGUACCUGGAUGGGUAACCGGUUGGGAAUACCAGGUGUUGCAAG